AUUGAACGCUGGCGGCAUGCCUUACACAUGCAAGUCGAACGGUAACAGGUCUUCGGAUGCUGACGAGUGGCGAACGGGUGAGUAAUACAUCGGAACGUGCCUAGUAGUGGGGGAUACCUACGCGAAAGAGUGGCUAAUACCGCAUGAGACCUACGGAUGAAAGCAGGGGAUCGCCAGACCUUGUGCUACUUGAGCGGCCGGUGGCAGAUUAGGUAGUUGGUGGGAUAAAAGCUUACCAAGCCGACGAUCUGUAGCUGGUCUGAGAGGACGAUCAGCCACACUGGGACUGAGACACGGCCCAGCCUCCUACGGGAGGCAGCAGUGGGGAAUUUUGGACAAUGGGCGCAAGCCUGAUCCAGCAAUGCCGCGUGCAGGAUGAAGGCCUUCGGGUUGUAAACUGCUUUUGUACGGAACGAAAAGCCCCGGGUUAAUACCCUGGGGUCAUGACGGUACCGUAAGAAUAAGCACCGGCUAACUACGUGCCAGCAGCCGCCGUAA
rnacentral:rRNA from 1 species